UACGUAGGUGGCAAGCGUUGUCCGGAUUUAUUGGGUUUAAAGGGUGCGUAGGCGGCUUUGUAAGUCAGUGGUGAAAUAUGGCAGCUUAACUGUCAGGGUGCCAUUGAUACUGCGGAGCUUGAGUACAGAUGAGGUAGGCGGAAUUGACGGUGUAGCGGUGAAAUGCUUAGAUAUCGUCAAGAACACCUAUAGCGAAGGCAGCUUACUAGGCUGUAACUGACGCUGAGGCACGAAAAGUUGUGGGG
rnacentral:rRNA from 1 species